GGGGCCAAAUAGCGCGUGCUACACAUGCAGUCGAACGCGAACGUCUUUUUCGGAAACUAGUAGAGUGGCGCACGGGUGACUAUCGCGUAAGUAAUCUACCCUGGUGUCUGGGAUAACUCAGCGCAUGCUGUGCUAAUACCGGAUACGCUGGAGACAGGAAAGGUGGCCUCUUCUUGAAAGCUACUGCACCAGGAGGAGCUUGCGUACCAUUAGCUAGUUGGUAGGGUAACGGCCUACCAAGGCGACGAUGGUUAGCGGGUCUGAGAGGAUGAUCCGCCACACUGGAACUGGAACACGGACCAGACUCCUACGGGAGGCAGCAGUGAGGAAUAUUGCGCAAUGGGGGCAACCCUGACGCAGCGACGCCGCGUGGAUGAUGAAGGCCUUCGGGUCGUAAAAUCCUGUCAGAUGGGAAGAAGUGGUAGGUGUUUAAUAUACAUUUACUUUGACGGUACCAUCAAAGGAAGCACCGGCUAACUCCGUGCCAGCAGCCGCGGUAAUACGGAGGGUGCAAGCGUUGUUCGGAAUUACUGGGCGUAAAGCGCGCGUAGGCGGCUAAUUAAGUCAGAUGUGAAAGUCCACGGCUCAACCGUGGAAGUGCAUUUGAAACUGGUUAGCUUAAGUACUGGAGGGGGUAGUGGAAUUCCCGGUGUAGAGGUGAAAUUCGUAGAUAUCGGGAGGAAUACCGGUGGCGAAGGCGACUAUCUGGCCAGAUACUGACGCUGAGGUGCGAAAGCGUGGGGAGCAAACAGGAUUAGAUACCCUGGUAGUCCACGCCGUAAACGAUGUCAACUAGGUGUUGGGAUGGGUAAUCGUCUCAUUGCCGCAGCUAACGCAUUAGUUUAACCGCUGGGGAGUACGGUCGCAAGAUUAAAACUCAAAUGAAUUGGCG
rnacentral:rRNA from 1 species